UUUAUAAAAGCUGAUUUUCUUCUUCUUCUUUUUCACUUUGUUUCAGAACUCCUCUUCCCCAAGGACUCUUCAAAUUCGGAACUCCUCAUCAACAAGGAUUCUGAGCUUUCCUUUCUUCUCUUUAAAUUGUUGGAUUUUGGCUAAUAUUCCCCUUCCAGACUUAGGGUUUUGAUUCUUACCUUGGUGUUAAAGCUUCUCAUUGGUAACGAGCUUUGUUCUUCAUGAACUCCAGGGUUUCAGAUUUGAUUGUGUUCGAGCCGAUUGUUGUGGAUUCUUCUUGAACGAACCAGUGUUCCCUUCCCCAUCAAGCUUGUUCUCUCUGAUUCAGAUUAGCUAUGUUGACGAGGAGAUCACGUAUCCUAAAGAGGUCGGCUACUGAGUUACCUGAGAGGGAGGCUCUAUCUUUCGCAGGACGAGGUAUAUCAUUAUGCUAUUUUCACGACAAUAUACGUUAUCUUACGUGUGCGUGAUAUGGUUGAAAUCGUCUCGCUAAUUACAAGUUGAAUUCCCUUCGGAUGUGUUCUUGCCUUUCGAGGUAGAUGGUCAUAGGGUGAGCAUUAUGCUAAUAUCGAUGAUCCAACGUUAAUCCCGCCAACUCCUCAAUUUGGUUCGGACAUUCCUGAAAAUUCUCUCGAUUGGUGUGAGAGGGACAUCAUCGUACUUUGCCUUAGCUAAUUACCGACGCACCGCUUACAGAUAAUGAGGGUUCUACCCGACCUCCCAGGAAGACAGAUUAUUUAUUUGGAGAUUCCAUUGAAGAUCAGAUAGUCGUAUCUCUGAAGGAUGAGCAAUGGUUACACAAAGACAUGGUAAGAAGUUGUUACCCCAAGAGAUGAACUACAAGAUUCUUCGAUCAUUGUCUCCGGUGUGGGAACCCAAAGCUACGGCCAUAGAGGAAGCUCACGAUCUCACCACACUUCCCCUUAAUGGUCUCAUUGGCAAGCUCAAAGUCCAUGAGAAGAAAAUCAAAGAGAAGGAGAAUGAGGAAGAACCCCAUGGGUAAUCGAGGAGCCAUCCCAAAAGAAGACAAUUGCUCUUAAAGGAGCUAUUGAUGACUCCUCCUCCUCGGAUAGUGAAACCGGUGUUUCUAGAUAAGUGGCUCUCCUCUCUAGAAGAAUUUCUAAACUAAUAAAAUUAAACAAAAAUCUUAACCGAUCUAAUAACAAUAUUUUUCCUCGUAUAGGAAAAUGCUUUGAGUGCAAUGAACCGGGUCAUCAAGCCAAGGAGUGCCCAAAGAUCAAAGAAAAAUACUUGAAGUACAAGAAAAAGAGGACGAUGUAUGCCGAAUGGGAUGAAUCCGAGCCAAGUGACUCGGAUAGCGAUGAGGAGGGAGCUAAGUUUGCUUUUCAUGAUCAUAACAUUUGUUUUAUGGCCAAUGAAGAUGAUGUAAUUAUAUCUGACUCCAAAAGUGAAUCUUUUUAUAUGCAAUAUGAUCUAGCUACCGCA